UGAGGCCUGUUAUUGCAAUUAUCAUUACUGC
rnacentral:piRNA from 1 species